CAGAGUUACAGUACCACCCUGUAGACCGAUCUUAAUAGAACUCAGGAGCAAAGCAAGGCUGGGCCUGGUCAGCACUGGGAUGGGAGACCUCAAAGGAAAGUCAGGCUGUUGCUAUAA
rnacentral:rRNA from 1 species